rnacentral:rRNA from 1 species
GUGCCAGCCGCCGCGGUAAUACGGAGGGUGCAAGCGUUGUCCGGAUUUAUUGGGUUUAAAGGGUGCGUAGGCGGCUUGUUAAGUCNCGGGGUGAAAGCCCACUGCUCAACAGUGGAACUGCCCUGGAUACUGGCAAGCUUGAGUCCAGACGAGGUUGGCGGAAUGGAUGGUGUAGCGGUGAAAUGCAUAGAUACCAUCCAGAACCCCGAUUGCGAAGGCAGCUGACUAGGCUGGUACUGACGCUGAGGCACGAAAGCGUGGGGAGCGAAC